GACGAACGCUGGCGGCGUGCUUAACACAUGCAAGUCGAACGGAAAGGCCUAGCUUGCUGGGUACUCGAGUGGCGAACGGGUGAGUAACACGUGGGUGAUCUGCCCCUGACUUUGGGAUAAGCCUGGGAAACUGGGUCUAAUACCGGAUAUUCAUUUUUCCUCGCAUGGGGAUUUGUGGAAAGCUUUUGCGGUUGGGGAUGGGCCCGCGGCCUAUCAGCUUGUUGGUGGGGUAAUGGCCUACCAAGGCGACGACGGGUAGCCGACCUGAGAGGGUGAUCGGCCACACUGGGACUGAGACACGGCCCAGACUCCUACGGGAGGCAGCAGUGGGGAAUAUUGCACAAUGGGCGCAAGCCUGAUGCAGCGACGCCGCGUGAGGGAUGACGGCCUUCGGGUUGUAACCUCUUUCAGCUCCGACGAAGCGCAAGUGACGGUAGGAGCAGAAGAAGCACCGGCCAACUACGUG
rnacentral:rRNA from 1 species